GCACGCCGGCUUUCCAUCAGGCUGAUAAAAGGACUGGGAGCUCUUGAAGCCGAAGCCAAGGUGAGUAACCUGUGGCUGUCCUGGGGGACAUGGGGGGGGGGAAGGCCUGUUUACUCAAGAGCAGCAGGGAUGCUCUGGCAGGAGCUGGGGCUGUCGGUUCUGCGGUGGUAACAGCUUGCUGAGGAGGGGUUGGGUUUCAGCAUCCCAGCCCGUGCCGUGAGGAGGGACGCCGGCUGGGCAGCUUGGCUGUCACCCCCCAAAUCGGUGGUCCGGGGGGAUGCAUUGGCUGGAAGUGCAGGAUGGAUGGGGGUCUGCCUUCUCCCCGGGUCCCCGCGGCUGAGCGGGGGGUGCUGGGGCUGGUCCCCGCCGUGGUGGGGCUCCCCCCGGCUUUGGUGGAGCAAACACAGCCCAGACACCAGCUGGGAAGCGGUGGCUUCAUGCUGACCUGGGUGAGGGGUCUCUACCCCAGGUGAGGGGUCUUUGGUCCCUCUUGCCCUACCAGCAAGCGGGUUUUUUCCUCCUCCCAUGCAGACAAGAAGCUCCCAUUGCCAUUGCACAGCUCUUUUUGCCCUGCCUAGGGUCUCGCUUGCACCCUGCCUGCAAAUUUCCAAGGGUUUCCUGGGCUCCCUCAUCACCCCCAUGUUACAUUUGGGAUUUGUAUUUAAUUCUUAUUUAUUUCUUCAUAGGUUUGUUCCUGUCAUUGCUGCUGUUCCUGGCCCGGCUUUCCAGCAGGUUUGCUCUGCAGAGAGCUGCAGAGCGCUCGGCACCUCCUGCCUCUUUUUCAUCCCUUUCCUCCUCGACACUCGCCAAAUAAGCAGCGAGCGCGGCCACCGACCAUGGGUCUUCCCAGCAAUGCCAUCGCCGCCCCGUCAAUCUCAAGGUCAGGGUGAAGCCUGACGUCGGUCCGCAGCUGAGCCAGCACAUCCGUGGGGCGAGAGCGGCCACCGGCAGCCCCGGGGCGAAGGAAGCUUCCAAAUUCCUGCACAGCCAAAUCCUGGCUGGGGCUGCCAGGAAACCCGGCCAGCAACAAUCCCCGAGGGUUUGGGGGGACACCGGAGGCGCGGGGGACAGCGGCAGAGCAGUGAAGCAGCCCUGAGGCCACGGUGAGGGUACACAUUGGAUCUCCAGGUGAAAUGUUGGUGGCCGGGAAAAGGGGGAUUGGGAAAAUCCCGCA